UACCAGCACCCCGAGUGGUCGGGACGUUUAUUGGGCCUAAAGCAUCCGUAGCCGGUUCUACAAGUCUUCCGUUAAAUCCACCUGCUUAACAGAUGGGCUGCGGAGGAUACUAUGGAGCUAGGAGGCGGGAGAGGCAAGCGGUACUUAGUGGGUAGGGGUAAUAUCCGUUGAUCCAUUGAAGACCACCAGUGGCGAAGGCGGCUUGCCAGAACGCACUCGACGGUGAGGGAUGAAAGCUGGGGGAGCAAACCGG
rnacentral:rRNA from 1 species